rnacentral:rRNA from 1 species
UACGUAGGGUGCGAGCGUUGUCCGGAAUUAUUGGGCGUAAAGAGCUCGUAGGCGGCCUGUUACGUCUGCUGUGAAAUCCCGGGGCUUAACCCCGGGCGUGCAGUGGAUACGGGCAGGCUGGAGGCGGGCAGGGGAGAACGGAAUUCCCGGUGUAGCGGUGAAAUUCGUAGAUAUUGGGAAGAACACCGGUGGCGAAGGCGGCGACCUGGGCCUUUUACUGACGCUGAGGCGCGAAAGCGUGGGGAGCAAACAGG